UACUUUUGUCCUAAGUCAAACUAUUUUAAAUUUGACUAAAUUUAUAGAUAAUACUAUCAACAUCUAUAGCACCAAAUAGAUAUAUUAUAAAAAUAUAUUUUAUUAUGAAUCUAAUGAUACUUAUUUGGUGUCAUAAAUGUUAGCAUUCUUCUCUAUAAGUUUAGUCAAAGUUAAGAUAGUUUGACUUAGAACAAAACUAG
rnacentral:pre_miRNA from 1 species